rnacentral:rRNA from 1 species
AUGAACGCUGGCGGCGUGCCUAAUACAUGCAAGUCGAGCGAACAGACGAGGAGCUUGCUCCUCUGACGUUAGCGGCGGACGGGUGAGUAACACGUGGAUAACCUACCUAUAAGACUGGGAUAACUUCGGGAAACCGGAGCUAAUACCGGAUAAUAUAUUGAACCGCAUGGUUCAAUAGUGAAAGACGGUUUUGCUGUCACUUAUAGAUGGAUCCGCGCCGCAUUAGCUAGUUGGUAAGGUAACGGCUUACCAAGGCGACGAUGCGUAGCCGACCUGAGAGGGUGAUCGGCCACACUGGAACUGAGACACGGUCCAGACUCCUACGGGAGGCAGCAGUAGGGAAACUUCCGCAAUGGGCGAAAGCCUGACGGAGCAACGCCGCGUGAGUGAUGAAGGUCUUCGGAUCGUAAAACUCUGUUAUUAGGGAAGAACAAAUGUGUAAGUAACUAUGCACGUCUUGACGGUACCUAAUCAGAAAGCCACGGCUAACUACGUG